rnacentral:rRNA from 1 species
UACGGGAGGCAGCAGUGGGGAAUAUUGCACAAUGGGCGCAAGCCUGAUGCAGCCAUGCCGCGUGUAUGAAAAAGGCCUUCGGGUUGUAAAGUACUUUCAGUCGUGAGGAAGGUGUUAAGGUUAAUAACCUUAGCAAUUGACGUUAGCGACAGAAGAAGCACCGGCUAACUCCGUGCCAGCAGCCGCGGUAAUACGGAGGUGCGAGCGUUAAUCGGAAUUACUGGGCGUAAAGGGCACGCAGGCGGUUAAUUAAGUUGGAUGUGAAAUCCCCGGGCUUAACCUGGGAAUGGCAUUCAAGACUGGUUAGCUAGAGUCUUGUAGAGGGGGUAGAAAUUCCAUGUGUAGCGGUGAAAUGCGUAGAGAUGUGGAGGAAUACCGGUGGCGAAGGCGGCCCCCUGGACAAAGACUGACGCUCAUGUGCGAAAGCGUGGGGAGCAAACAGGGAUUAGAUACC